GUAAUGUCAUCUUACAGAUAAGGAGACUGAGGCUCAGAGAUGCUAAUUAUCUUCUCUGAGGCCAUACAGGUACGAUACAGGGGAGCUGGGAUACCACCCCAGGCAGUCUGACUACAAAGCAAGUACUCUGGUUGCUAUCCUGCACUACACGCAGCAGGAAAAUAAACAGACUUACGAGAGUAGUAUGCUCUGUGUUGGGCACCAACUCCUGCUUCCUGGAUUCUUAUCUUCUGGACAUUCUGGAAUGACCUCAGCUGAUGGAACACUCCUGCCUCAUGGCUUACCUCUUACUGCUCUCCACAGAGGAGGAGCGAGCCUAGCAGGCCAGACAAGGCGGAAGCACAGGUGGCAUCGGCUCUAGGACAGUCUGCUCCAGUCAUAGAGGGAUUUUCCUCUCAAAAUGAAUGGGUAUGUGAUGCCCAGGUAUGCAGUAGCCAUCUUAAGACCGUGAGGAUGAAGACUAUAUGCAAAGGGGGCAGAACAGGAAGACUGAAGACUACCCCUUGGCUUAUCACCUCUGGACUUACUGUUAAAUGAGGAAAAAUGAACUAUUUAAUUAAACUGCUGUGGUUGUUUCUCAGUUAUAUGCAGCCAAACACAAUUCUAUCAGAAAGGGCUAAAGUGGCAUUCACUGCUAACCGAGACAUACAAACUGUUUCUUUAGCCAAAGACACAACUAAUAAUGUAACGGUUCUGCUGGGUUGGGUAUUCUCAUUAUCCUUCGAACGCCUCUGAAACUAGGGUACAUGGGAGUUAACAAUGGAAAGUGGACCAAGAAGGCAUUCUUCAAAUUGCAAUGCUUUUAUUAGAAUAUUAUUAAUUGCAGAUUUUUAAAAAACUACACACAUGGAAAAAGGAGAACACUCAGAAAUACUAUUACAGAUUAGGCAAAUUAGUAGGAUGAAAAAGAUUUCUUCAGUGUAUACAAAAUGUAAACAUUUGCCCUGGGAUUUCCCACAGAUGGCACAGUCCACAAGGACUUAUUUGGAAUAAAAAUAUGU